rnacentral:lncRNA from 1 species
UGAGAAUGGGGCUUCAUGGCAGCUUGGCCUCAUUGGCCCCGAGGCCUCUGCUCAAUUGCAGAUCUCAGAACUGAAAACACAUCAAUCUUCACUCUACAAAUGCCCAAACUGGGCUCCAAGGGAGGAAGGACACCCUGCCUGCAGGCUGGUAAGGGAAGGCUCACCCUGCCCAGCGGUACUGGAACUGGGUAUUCCCAAUAACAAGCUGAGCUCAGGCAGGAGGGAGACACAAGGUAGUGACACCUUGGGGCUGGAGCCAGUGGCUCACUAUUGGUGCUCCCCCUCCUCUCAGUGUCUGAAGGUAGUGCGACAGGGGUCACCCUGAGCACAACAAUAACCUCUAUACAACAGUAUUUUCCAGAUUGAAUUCUCUCAUGUUUACUUUCAAAUUUAAUGACUUUAAUAGUCAUCCAACCUGUUUAUUUUGAUUUGCUGGUAAUAUGUAAACCCUCUUAUUUAACUUUCAUUUUGCUAGCCUAUCCAACGUAAAAUGAACAAUUGCUAAACUGUUUCCUAAUUUUAUAACUUAAAAAUGUCUUUCUUGGAAAAUCUUUUUGAUAUGAAUAAAAUAUCUUUCAGAGCCAUCAUUUAGAGGGGGCUUCUCUCCAACAUGAGCUACCUGAUGUUGAGUAAGGUCUGAACCCUCGCUGACAGCCUUUCCACAUUCUUGACAUUUAUAUGGUUUCUCCCCAGCGUGGCGGCUUCUCUGGUACUCAACGGGUUGUGGGGUAGGGCUGAAAGUCUUCCCACAUUCACUGCACCCCAGGGAUUUCUCACCAGUGUGGAUUGUCCAGUGCAGAAUGAGGUCUGCACCAUGGCUGAAGGCUCUGCCACGUCGCUCUCCAGUGGGCAUCAGGCUGGGGCCACCCUUUCUACGCUGGCGAGGAUUAUCUCCCGUGUGAAUGUGCUGAUGCUGUGUGAGGGUUGACCUCCGGCUAAAGGCCUUCCCACAGGCCCGGCACUCGUAGGGCUUCUCGCCAGUGUGGACACGCUGGUGCAGGGUGAGUUGGGAGCUCUGGCUGAAGGCUUUCCCACACUCAGAGCACUGAUAUGGCUUCUCCCCUGUGUGCACUCUGCGAUGCUGCACCAGAGUGGAACUCCGGCUGAAGGCCCUGCCACACUCACCACACACAUAAGGCUUCUCUCCAGUGUGAAUCCGUGUAUGUUCAGUAAGGUGAGAAUUGAAACCAAAGGCCCGGCCACACUCCUGGCACACGUAGGGCUUUUCUCCAGUGUGGACCCUAUGAUGGAGGAAAAGGCUGGAGCUCUGGCUGAAGGCCUUGCCACACUGACUGCACUUGUGGGGCUUCUCCCCAGUGUGGAUCCUCUGGUGCUGAAUGAGGCUGGAGCUCCGGCUGAAGGCCUUGCCACACUGACUGCACUUGUGCGGCUUCUCCCCAGUGUGGAUCCUCUGGUGCUGAGUUAACUGGGGGCUCUGGCUGAAGGCUUUGCCGCACUCCUCACACUUGUGAGGCUUCUCUCCUGUGUGAAUGACGCGAUGCUGAAUGAGGCUGGAGCUUCGACUGAAGGCUUUCCCACAUUCACUGCACCCAAAGGGUCUUUCUCCAGUGUGAAUUCUCCGAUGCAGAAUGAGGUAGGAAUUGAGCCCAAAAGUCUUCCCACAUUCUUCACAUUUAAACGGUUUGCUGCCAGUGUGGACUCGGCGGUGCAGGAUGAGGCUCGCGCUGUGUGUGAAGGCUCGCCCACACCAACUGCACUCAUAGGGCUUUUCCCCUGUGUGGCGCCUAUGAUGUCGACGGAGGUCUGAAUUAUAUUUGAAGGUUUUGCUGCAUAUAUCACAUUUAAAGACUCUCUCUCCUGUUUUAUUCCUUUGAAGUCUAACAACAUUUUGGUUUGGAUUUAAAUGUCUAUCAACAUUUAAAGAACACUCCUGGACACUCUCUCUUGGAGGCUGCUCCCUACAUAGGACAGAUUCCUCUCUAAAAACUCUAUUGUGCAGAUGGGGUUUCUUCAGACUCUGGCCAGCAGUGUUUCCCAGGCUCCCUUUUCCCUUCCCCUCCAGGUCCCAAGGAUCCUGGAACACAGGUGUCUGUGAAUUGGCCCUUGAGAAUCUUCUUGAUACAAAUGCUGGGCUCUUCACAUCUUCAGAACACUCCUGGUUUAAAAUGGACAGUUCCUUCUCAGUCCCAGUAUCAGAAUCUGUUACACAAAACAUAAAGGAAUUACUAGAGGACACCACUGUUCAGCAACACUCUUACACAGAUCCUUACUUGGAAGGCAGAUGUUCCAGUAGCAGAUGUGCUAUGCAUGACUCAGGAGCGCAAGAGGCAAAAUGGCCAGUCACAGGAUGAAAGCUCAGUCCACCAGGUACCACAGGAGGGAAACUCAAGCAAAUUAUGAUUUUUUCACCUAUCAAACUAGCAAAUGAAUCUGCCAACAGGCUGCUCCAGGUAAGGAACACAAUAGGAAGCCAGAGAGCCUCUGGUCUCAGGAAGCUCACUGUAUAUUGAGGAAGAAAAUCAAAUACUUUUUUUUUUUUUUUUAAAUGAAAUAACACAGAGGCUGGGAUUGUGGCUCAGCGGUAGAACGCUCGCCUAGCACUUGCGAGGCCCUGGGUGCGGUCCUCAGCACCACAUAAAAAUAAAUAAAAUAAAGGCAUUUUGUUCAACUACACCUAAAAAAAAUAAUAUUAAAAAAAUGAAAUAACAUGGAUAAUGGAAACUAUUGAAAAUACAGAACCAUCUCCUGCAGCCUAUGUGGUCAGAAGAUCCCAGGAGCAUGCGUGGCUUCAGAGGGAGCAAGAGCCAAUGGGUCAGCAGUUGCAGAAGGCAGGCCUGGGUGAGAUGGAGAACCACCAAGUCCAGGAAUGCAAGGAGCCUGCCACGGCUAGAGCAAGAAGGCGGGUGGAGGUUGCUGUGCUGCGUUGAUUCCCACACAGAGAAGUAAAGGAAUAAUUCCUGUCCUGUACUGUGGGAUGGACUAUAAAUAAAUAGAGCUUUUUAAAGGGAAAGUUGGUAACACAUAGCAAAAGAAUUAAUAUUACACACCUUUGUUCCCAAAAUUGUUCUUCAAGAGUCUAUGCUAAGUCAACUGUCAUUUGCACAAAGAAAUGAUUAUUAUGACCAUCCCUGAAAUGUUCUCCCUAAUUAUGGGGAAACAAGAAAGAAUUCAAAUAUUCAAAAAACAGAGGACAGGGCUGGGUGUGGCACAGUGAUAGAGCACUUGCCUGGCAUGCAGGAGGCCCUAGGUUUAUCUCCAGCACUGCAAAAAAAAAGAAAGAAAAAAAAAGAGUAUUGUUUAAGUCAGCGAUAGACGAGUCAUAUAAUGGAAUACCUUUCUGACAUUAUAAUUAUAUAAUAGAAUAUAUAGUUAAAGGAAAAGUCUAUGACAUAAACUGAAAAAUCAGUUUCUAAAAUAAUACACACAGCAUAAACCAACUUUAACUGAAAAUACAUAUGGAAGAUAAGUGCUAUUUCUUCCUUAAAUGUUUGGUAUAAGCUGGCGAAACCAUCUGGGCUUGGCAUUUUCUCUGAGAUAGGAAUUUUAUUUACUGAACCAAUUUCUUUAAUACUUAAAAGAUCAUGUAUUAAUGCUUUCUUGUGUCAACCUUGACAAAUUGUGUUUUCUGGGCAAACUGUGUUUUAUCUCCAUAUUAAAACUUCUUGGCAUUAAA